GACGAACGCUGGCGGCGUGCUUAACACAUGCAAGUCGAACGGAACGGCCCUGCUUUUGUGGGGUGGUCGAGGUGCGAACGGGUGAGUAACACGUGAGUAAGCUGUCCCUGACUUUGGGAGAACUUCAUGAAACUUGGGCUAAUAGCAGCUAGGAUCUCUUGCUGCAGGGUGGGCGUUGGAAAGUUUCGGCGGUUGGGGGUGGACUCGCGGCGUAUGAGCUUGUUGGUUGGGUAGUGGCUUACCAAGGCUUUGACCGGUAGCCGGCCUGAGAGGGUCACCGGCCACAUUAGGACUGAGAUACGGCACAGCCUACUCCGGGACGCAGCGGUGGAGAGUAUUACACAGUGCGCGGGAGCAUGGUGUGGUCCAGCAGCGUGGGGGAAGAGGGGCUUCGCGUUGUGAACCGAUUUCCCCUGUGCCGAGGCGAGAGUGACGGUACUGGGUAAAGAAGCACCGGCUAACUACGUG
rnacentral:rRNA from 1 species